ACCUAGCUGCCCUCAUGCUUUAAAUUUUAAAGUGUUAAAUCUUAGCAAGUCAUGUUCUGUUCCCGUAAUUGGUUGUGUGUCUAUGUAGGUACAGUGGAUGGCUCGCCUUAAUAUUGAGGUGAGAGUCAAAAGCUGAUAUAAGAACAUAGAAAACCUGGGUGUGGAGGCUGGAUGCUGGUCCACCUCAAGAACACAGGCUUGGAGGAAGAGGGGUGGAGAAGUGGGGAAGGAAAUUUGUCCUUCAGCUCACAAUCAGAGCUAUCCAAAAAGAGGAAUGGGGCAUCUAAAGAGGCUGUAAGUUCCUCAUGACUGGAGGCAGCUUGCUCACUUGGUGUGAAAAGAAGACAGAGAGGACACGACGGCUAUUUUGAGGUAUCUAAAGGACUGCCAUGGAGAAGUCAUAUCAGUCUUGCCCUUCUUGGUUCCUGAGAAUAACAGCAGUAGGAGUAGCAACACGAUUGAAAAGUGCAGUGGUGAAUUUAAUCCUGAUAUGGGGAAAAACUCAAAAAAGAGCUACCCAAAUGAGGAAGAGGCUGCCUAGAGAGUGACUGUCCCUUCAUGGAGCUCUUCAAACAAAAGUUGGCUGACCAGUUCAUGGAUAGUGUAGAAGGGAUCUUCAUUCAGAUAUGAAUAGGGUUAAAUGGAAUUCUCUUCCAAGAUUGACAGCUUGUGAAUAUCAAUGUAAUAAAACACCACAAUGCAAUUAGGAAUGCUAACAAUCAAACUGACAUUUAUUAAGUACCUAUUGUGUACCAUAAGAGCUUGGGAAUGAAGACAAAAAAUGUAGCAGUCCCUCUUCCCUCAAGAAAAUCACACCCUCUGGGAGAGACAACAUGUACUUAUAAAUACGUGGUUGAGAUAAACACAGAUAAUGAAUGCUUUUCCAGUUUAUUAACACAACUGACACUGCACAGGUUUGCAAAGUACCUUCCUCACAAUAAUCCUGUGAUUUUUUCAAGUAUUAUUUUCCCCAAUUAGGAGAUGAGGAAACGGGUUCUGAGAGACAAACUGACUUGCUCAGAGUAAGUGUCCAAGGCAGGAAUUUGAACCUAGGUUUCCAUAUUCC